rnacentral:lncRNA from 1 species
CAUCCUUAAGGAAACAACAAUUAAGCAUAAAAGAAAUGGGUAAUAAAAAUAUAUCAACAGAGAAGAGAAUUUCCGUAAAGUCUUAAUAAUAUUUUGUUUCCUCAAACUUAUUCCCCUUAGCUUUAAUUCAUAGCUGCUAUAUUAUAUCACUAAAUCCCUAAUCAUAUGCUCAUAAUUACACCGUCAUUAUGCCCAUUAUUGUCCAAUAACACUAGUCCUCAACAAAUUGAUUUUUUU